GCGAACGCUGGCGGCAGGCUUAACACAUGCAGGUCGAGCGGGCACCUUUCGGGGUGUCAGCGGCAGACGGGUGAGUAACGCGUGGGAACGUGCCCUCUGGUUCGGAAUAACUCAGGGAAACUUGAGCUAAUACCGGAUACGCCCUUUUGGGGAAAGGCUUGCUGCCGGAGGAUCGGCCCGCGUCUGAUUAGCUAGUUGGUGAGGUAACGGCUCACCAAGGCGACGAUCAGUAGCUGGUCUGAGAGGAUGAUCAGCCACACUGGGACUGAGACACGGCCCAGACUCCUACGGGAGGCAGCAGUGGGGAAUAUUGGACAAUGGGCGCAAGCCUGAUCCAGCCAUGCCGCGUGAGUGAUGAAGGCCUUAGGGUUGUAAAGCUCUUUUAUCCGGGACGAUAAUGACGGUACCGGAGGAAUAAGCCCCGGCUAACUUCGUG
rnacentral:rRNA from 1 species